rnacentral:rRNA from 1 species
AAAUCGGAGCGGACCCCCCACCGAAGCUUAACGUCCCCAAAUAACAGAGGGCACUGAAUAAUAAACAGCAUACAAGAAAAUUAUUCAAAAUGAUACCGUUAACCCCACACUGGUGUACUCCAAAGGAAAGACCAAAAGGAAAAGAAGGAACUCGGCAAAUACCCCCAAGCCUCGCCUGUUUACCAAAAACAUCGCCUCUUGCAAACUACACAUAAGAGGUCCUGCCUGCCCUGUGACCCCUGGUUCAACGGCCGCGGUAUUUUGACCGUGCAAAGGUAGCGCAAUCACUUGUCUCUUAAAUGAGGACCUGUAUGAAUGGCAUAACGAGGGCUUAACUGUCUCCUUUCCCCGGUCAGUGAAAUUGAUCUUCCCGUGCAGAAGCGGGAAUACUAACAUAAGACGAGAAGACCCUAUGGAGCUUUAGACUCUAGAACAGAUCAUGUAAGCUACCUCCAUGAAAUAGGUAAUAACUAUUGAAUCUCUGUUCCCAUGUCUUUGGUUGGGGCGACCACGGGGAAUAAAAAAACCCCCAUGUGGACCGGGAGCACAUUACUCCUACAACCAUGAGCCACAGCUCUAAUGCACAAAACAUUUGACCAUUAGAUCCGGCAAAGCCGAUCAACGGACCAAGUUACCCUAGGGAUAACAGCGCAAUCCCCUUUAAGAGUCCAUAUCGACAAGGGGGUUUACGACCUCGAUGUUGGAUCAAGACAUCCUAAUGGUGCAGCCGCUAUUAAGGGUUCGUUUGUUCAACGAUUAAAGUCCUACGUGAUCUGAGUUCAGACCGG